rnacentral:piRNA from 1 species
UAAAUAAUAAAAGGUUUGCUCUGGAUGUC